rnacentral:rRNA from 1 species
GGGGCAGGGUGAGUCGGCCCCUAAGGCGAGGCUGAAAAGCGUAGUCGAUGGGAAACGGGUUAAUAUUCCCGUACUUGGUAAAGCUGCGAUGUGGGGACGGAGAAGGUUAGGUUAGCAGACUGUUGGAUGUCUGUUUAAGUUGGUAGGUGGGGAGUUUAGGCAAAUCCGGACUUCCAUAACACUGAGAGAUGAUGACGAGUUUCUACGGAAAUGAAGUAACUGAUACCACGCUUCCAGGAAAAGCCACUAAGCGAAAGGCUUUACUAAACCGUACUGAAAACCGACACAGGUGGUCAGGUAGAGAAUACUCAGGCGCUUGAGAGAACUCGGGUGAAGGAACUAGGCAAAAUAGCACCGUAACUUCGGGAGAAGGUGCGCUGGCGUAGGUUGUAGGAGUAUACCUCCGAAGGCUGAACCAGUCGAAGAUACCAGCUGGCUGCAACUGUUUAUUAAAAACACAGCACUCUGCAAACACGAAAGUGGACGUAUAGGGUGUGAUGCCUGCCCGGUGCUGGAAGGUUAAUUGAUGGUGUAAUCGAAAGAGAAGCUCCUGAUCGAAGCCCCAGUAAACGGCGGCCGUAACUAUAACGGUCCUAAGGUAGCGAAAUUCCUUGUCGGGUAAGUUCCGACCUGCACGAAUGGCAUAAUGAUGGCCAGGCUGUCUCCACCCGAGACUCAGUGAAAUUGAAAUCGCCGUGAAGAUGCGGUGUACCCGCGGCUAGACGGAAAGACCCCGUGAACCUUUACUAUAGCUUGACACUGAACAUUGAAUUUUGAUGUGUAGGAUAGGUGGGAGCCUAAGAAGCAGUCACGCCAGUGAUUGUGGAGGCGUCCUUGAAAUACCACCCUUUAACGUUUGAUGUUCUAACGAAGAUUGCGAAACGCGGUCUCGGACAGUGUCUGGUGGGUAGUUUGACUGGGGCGGUCUCCUCCCAAAGAGUAACGGAGGAGCACGAAGGUUUGCUAAUCACGGUCGGACAUCGUGAGGUUAGUGCAAUGGUAUAAGCAAGCUUAACUGCGAGACAGACAAGUC